GCGGCAAUAGCUCAGUUGGUAGAGCGUUGGCUUCCCAAGCCGAAGGUCGCGGGUUCGAGCCCCGUUUGCCGCU
rnacentral:tRNA from 1 species